rnacentral:other from 1 species
AUAGCCCUGCAGUGCCCGUGAUUGAACAGCUUGAGGGCGAACCAACACCAGAAUCUAGGGUGCAAGGCCAACGAGCGUAGAUGUGAUAGCCUACCCGAAAGGGAGAGGGCAAGACGGAAGCGUUCAGCCGGCGCCCACCUACGAACCUCGGUUCGUACCCACUGGAUCACACGGCAUUGCGGGGUCGCA